rnacentral:rRNA from 1 species
CCAAUAGCGUAUAUUAAAGUUGUUGCAGUUAAAAAGCUCGUAGUUGAAUUUCGGGAUUGGCGCAUCGGUCGUGCCUUACGGGGUAUGAACUGGUGCAGUCAAUUUCUCACCUUCUGGAGAACCGCGAUGUCCUUAAUUGGGUGCCGUGGGGAACCAGGACCUUUACUUUGAAAAAAUUAGAGUGUUUAAAGCAGGCAUUUUUGCUUGAAUACAUUAGCAUGGAAUAAUAAAAUAGGACGGCAUGGUUCUAUUUUGUUGGUUUCUAGGACCACCGUAAUGAUUAAUAGGGAUAGUUGGGGGCAUUAGUAUUCAAUUGUCAGAGGUGAAAUUCUUGGAUUUAUUGAAGACUAACUACUGCGAAAGCAUUUGCCAAGGAUGUUUUCAUUAAUCAAGAACGAAAGUUAGGGGAUCGAAGACGAUCAGAUACCGUCGUAGUCUUAACCAUAAACUAUGCCGACUAGGAAUCAGACGAUGUUAAUUUUUUAAUGACUCGUUUGGCACCUUACG